rnacentral:rRNA from 1 species
UGGGGAAUAUUGCACAAUGGGCGAAAGCCUGAUGCAGCAACGCCGCGUGAGCGAUGAAGGCCUUUGGGUCGUAAAGCUCUGUCCUUGGGGAAGAAAAAAAUGACGGUACCCAUGGAGGAAGCCCCGGCUAACUACGUGCCAGCAGCCGCGGUAAUACGUAGGGGGCAAGCGUUAUCCGGAAUUAUUGGGCGUAAAGGGUGCGUAGGUGGUUUUGUAAGCGCGGGGUGAAAGGCAAUAGCUCAACUAUUGUAAGCCUUGCGAACUGUAAGACUUGAGUGCAGGAGAGGAAAGCGGAAUUCCUAGUGUAGCGGUGAAAUGCGUAGAUAUUAGGAGGAACACCAGUGGCGAAGGCGGCUUUCUGGACUGUAACUGACACUGAGGCACGAAAGCGUGGGGAGCAAACA